rnacentral:rRNA from 1 species
AAUGUCUGUACCCAUGGUUGCCAAGCCGCGAGGUGGAGCUAAUCCCAGAAAACCGAUCGUAGUCCGGAUCGCAGUCUGCAAGUCGACUGCGUGAAGUCGGAAUCGCUGGUAAUCGCGAAUCAGAAUGUCGCGGUGAAUACGUUCCCGGGCCUUGUACACACCGCCCGUCACACCAUGUGAGUGUGGUUGCACCAGAAGUAGCUAGUCUAACCUUCGUGAUGACGGUACCACGGUUGA